rnacentral:lncRNA from 1 species
GUUAAUGUCAAGUUGGGUCGGGUGUUAGAUCAGGAUUCAGAUGAAAUAAAGGUAAAAACAUAUAAAACUUAUUGAAAUUAUGAAUUAUUUUGAUUUGAUUAUUUAAUUUUUUAAAUUAUGAUUAUACUAUCCAACUUUUCAAUUUUUUUAAUUUGAAUCAGUCAAUGACACUUUGACCUUAAAAUUUAAAGGCAUUGUUUAUCUUUACAGAUUUAUUUAGUAUACUUCAUGUAAAUUUCACAAUUAUAAAUUUAUUAAAACUAGUAGCUAGCUUAAAUUUUAAAGUCAAAUAGGGUUGAUUGACUCAAAUCAAAUAAAUUAAAAGAUUAAAUAGUAAAAUUAAAAUUUUAAAAGUUUGAGUAAUCAAUUCAAAACAGUUCAUAGUUCAGCUAAGUUUUAUACAAAUAAAUAGAUUGAUGGAUUGAGUCAAAUUUUUUGGGCGAC